rnacentral:rRNA from 1 species
ACCUCCCACCCGUGUUUAUCGUACCUUGUUGCUUCGGCGGGCCCGCCCCAAGGCCGCCGGGGGGCAUCUGCCCUCUGGCCCGCGCCCGCCGAAGACACCAUUGAACGCUGUCUGAAGAUUGCAGUCUGAGCAAUUAGUUAAAUAACUUAAAACUUUCAACAACGGAUCUCUUGGUUCCGGCAUCGAUGAAGAACGCAGCGAAAUGCGAUACGUAAUGUGAAUUGCAGAAUUCAGUGAAUCAUCGAGUCUUUGAACGCACAUUGCGCCCCCUGGUAUUCCGGGGGGCAUGCCUGUCCGAGCGUCAUUGCUGCCCUCAAGCACGGCUUGUGUGUUGGGCUCCGUCCUCCUUCCGGGAGGACGGGCCCGAAAGGCAGCGGCGGCACCGCGUCCGGUCCUCGAGCGUAUGGGGCUUCGUCACCCGCUCUGCAGGCCCGGCCGGCGCUUGCCGACACAUCAA